CAAAUUGAUAUGUUCUCCACUUUUGAGGUACAGCUUGUAAAGAUAAAUGCCUCCCUCCUCUGUGCAUUAGUUUACCGACCACCAAAAAUUAAGCUUAAUUGUAAUUUCAUUCAAGAAUUUGCUGAUCUACUAUCUUUUAUGGCCUCUCGCUCUGACAAUUUCAUGAUUUUAGGGGAUUUUAACAUUCACAUCUGUUGCCCAUCAAAACCUUUGGUUAAGGACUUUUUAUGCCUUGUGGACUCUUUCAAUCUUGUGCAAUCUGUUAUGGCCCCGACGCAUCAGAAAGGCCACACAUUAGACCUAGUAUUGUCUUAUGGUUUCAAUGUUUCCAACUUAGAAAUUAUGGAUGUUGGGGUCUCUGAUCAUUUUUUGAUUUUAUUUGAAUCUAUUUUGUUUGGUCCCCCUGUAUCUCCCCCUAAGUCCUAUUCCUUUGCCCGUUCUAUUAAUUCCACCACAGCCACAACAUUCUCUAAUACUUUCAUCCUCUCUCACUCACCUACUAUCUCUGUUGCUAUUUCCACCUGCUCUGACAUUGAAAAAUUAGUCACUCUCUUUAAUGCAUCAUGUCUUGAGACCUUAGACUGUGUUGCCCCACUAAAACAAAAGCGUGUCAAAACUAUCACCACUCCAUGGUUAAAUGCCACGACCCGUUCUGUCAGAAAAUCUUGCAGGAAAGCAGAGCGCAAAUGGAAAAAAGAGAAGCUUCAGGUCUUCUAUGACCUUUUCAGAGAUUCUCUAAAGACCUACCAAAACUCUGUUAAGGCAGCAAAGGUUGAGUAUUAUGCUCAGCUUAUCAACAAUAAUGCUCAUAGGCCAAAAGUUUUAUUUAAUACCAUUAACUCUAUUAUAAAUCCUGCCUCUGCGUCAUCUACUCUUGCCCCUUCAACAGAAAUCUGUGAGAAGUUCCUCAACUUCUUCAUCGAUAAAAUUGACAAAAUAAAAUCUCAAAUCUCACCUCCAGAUUCGGAUCCCUCAGUGAUAGAACUUUCACCUAGCUGCCUCCAACAGUUUCAGGCUAUAUCUUCCUCCCAGCUUUCUGAGGUUGUCUCCCAUAUGAAAUCUACAUCCUGCCACUUAGAUGUUUUACCUGCACGCCUUUUUAAAGAAGUUUUUACCAUCAUCUGCCCUCUUGUAUUGGCCAUAAUUAAUCACUCACUAACCAAUGGAGUGGUCCCCUCAGGUUUUAAACGUGCAAUUGUGCAACCUUUACUUAAGAAACCUAACCUUGUGACCUGAAGAAUUAUAGGCCUAUUUCUAAAUUACCUUUUCUGUCAAAGAUACUAGAAAAGGUUGUCCUCUCUCAGGUUUCUUCUUAUCUGAGUGAGUUCAAUAUAUGUGAUAAAUUCCAAUCAGGUUUUAGAUCUCUGCACAGCACUGAAUCGGCCUUGCUUAAAGUCCAAAACGACAUUCUCUUAGCAGUUGAUUCUGGAUCUUGCGCCCUCUUGGUGCUUCUUGAUCUGAGUGCAGCAUUUGACACCAUUGACCAUAACAUCCUAUUAAAACGCUUGGAGGAUGAAGUAGCAUUUCUAUGGAUGCUGUGUCUCCCCAUUAGAAAUUCUCUGGGCUACAAUACAAAAACCAAGUCAAAAGCUGGGCCAAAUAUCCAGUCAAGAAAAUCUGGUUGUGUACAAGGUGACUGAUUGCUGCAAUACUAUCAAUAAUAGUUUUCUCUGUAUGGAAAUACUGCUUUGUUCUACUACUGGCUCACAAAAACUUUGUUCUCUUAACGUAGAUUCAUACACCAAAGCUAUGGAAAAAUGUCAGCGGCUGAUGGACACUUCUUGCAUUGAGGCGGAAGAAGAUGCGAGCGUCCACAAAAGGCAGUGCAGGGUCACGUGAUGAUGAAUCCGUUCCGCAAGCAAGAAAGCAUUCCAGGAUGGUGCGUGUGCCUGGAAGCCCUGUCUGUCAGCAGAUGUCACUGCCUCCACCACCUGCAUAUGAGUCAACACCACACAGGCAACCAGCUCAUUGCCCAGAGCUGGAUGGGUCUAUUAUAACGCCUGCCACUUCAUCUUGGGACCCAGUUGAAGCACAAGUGACUCAUCACACAGAGGGAGGUGGCUUGGCCAUGGAGACGGAAAUAAGAGCAAUAAGGACAACCAUUACCGCAUGGCACAGCGAAUGGAUGCAUUUGAGGAGAAGAUGGAUGAGCUGCUCAUGCUCUUAAGGAGCUCCCAGUCACCUCCCUUUGCUCCAGUCGAUGACGUAUUGCUGUCGUCCUGCUCAACAGUCACUGAGCUGCAGGAGAGGAGGAACAAAAUGCCCUCCCUCCAGGACUUGUACUCUGGGACCUAAGCGGGCAGAGACCAUCACCAAAGACUCCACAUAUCCUGCACACACACUCUUUAACUUCCUCCCCUCUGGCAGGCGCUACAGAUCCCUGCACACAAAAACAACCAGACACAAGAACAACUCUUUUCCCACUGCCGUCACUCUCCUGAACUGCAGAUAAGUGGGGUCAUCCCCACUUUGACCAUUCACCUGCACAUUACAUACUUUAUCAUUCCAAUAUGUGUCUUGCACACUACAUUUGCACUAUUACUUUGCACUCUACAUCACACUCCAUGUGUACUUAUAUUGGUAUUAUGUCUUAUUUCUAUAGUUGUUUUGUAUAUUAUUGUGUUGGUAUCUGCCACAAUGUAUAUUGUUGUCUCUAUUGUACAGUAUGUCUGUCUAUUUGUUGAAUGUAUAGAGCACCUAACAAAGUCAAAUUCCUUGUGUUCGUAUAUUUGGGUAACAUGGAGUCUGAUGGUUAUAUAUAUUUUUAGACCUUUUGUAUUUUGAUUAUUUUAUAUUAAAGUUAUAAAUCCCA